AUGCACAUGCUGUGAGCUCGAUGAGUAGGGCGGGACACGUGGUAUCCUGUCUGAAUAUGGGGGGACCAUCCUCCAAGGCUAAAUACUCCUGACUGACCGAUAGUGAACCAGUACCGUGAGGGAAAGGCGAAAAGAACCCCGGCGAGGGGAGUGAAAAAGAACCUGAAACCGUGUACGUACAAGCAGUGGGAGCACGCUUAGGCGUGUGACUGCGUACCUUUUGUAUAAUGGGUCAGCGACUUAUAUUCUGUAGCAAGGUUAACCGAAUAGGGGAGCCGAAGGGAAACCGAGUCUUAACUGGGCGUUAAGUUGCAGGGUAUAGACCCGAAACCCGGUGAUCUAGCCAUGGGCAGGUUGAAGGUUGGGUAACACUAACUGGAGGACCGAACCGACUAAUGUUGAAAAAUUAGCGGAUGACUUGUGGCUGGGGGUGAAAGGCCAAUCAAACCGGGAGAUAGCUGGUUCUCCCCGAAAGCUAUUUAGGUAGCGCCUCGUGAAUUCAUCUCCGGGGGUAGAGCACUGUUUCGGCAAGGGGGUCAUCCCGACUUACCAACCCGAUGCAAACUGCGAAUACCGGAGAAUGUUAUCACGGGAGACACACGGCGGGUGCUAACGUCCGUCGUGAAGAGGGAAACAACCCAGACCGCCAGCUAAGGUCCCAAAGUCAUGGUUAAGUGGGAAACGAUGUGGGAAGGCCCAGACAGCCAGGAUGUUGGCUUAGAAGCAGCCAUCAUUUAAAGAAAGCGUAAUAGCUCACUGGUCGAGUCGGCCUGCGCGGAAGAUGUAACGGGGCUAAACCAUGCACCGAAGCUGCGGCAGCGACACUAUGUGUUGUUGGGUAGGGGAGCGUUCUGUAAGCCUGUGAAGGUGUGCUGUGAGGCAUGCUGGAGGUAUCAGAAGUGCGAAUGCUGACAUAAGUAACGAUAAAGCGGGUGAAAAGCCCGCUCGCCGGAAGACCAAGGGUUCCUGUCCAACGUUAAUCGGGGCAGGGUGAGUCGACCCCUAAGGCGAGGCCGAAAGGCGUAGUCGAUGGGAAACAGGUUAAUAUUCCUGUACUUGGUGUUACUGCGAAGGGGGGACGGAGAAGGCUAUGUUGGCCGGGCGACGGUUGUCCCGGUUUAAGCGUGUAGGCUGGUUUUCCAGGCAAAUCCGGAAAAUCAAGGCUGAGGCGUGAUGACGAGGCACUACGGUGCUGAAGCAACAAAUGCCCUGCUUCCAGGAAAAGCCUCUAAGCAUCAGGUAACAUCAAAUCGUACCCCAAACCGACACAGGUGGUCAGGUAGAGAAUACCAAGGCGCUUGAGAGAACUCGGGUGAAGGAACUAGGCAAAAUGGUGCCGUAACUUCGGGAGAA
rnacentral:rRNA from 1 species